rnacentral:rRNA from 1 species
UGGCAAGUCGAACGAUGAAGGUAGGAGCUUGCUCUUGCUGGAUUAGUGGCGAACGGGUGAGUAACACGUGAGUAACCUGCCCUUGACUCUGGGAUAACUCCAAGAAAUCGGUGCUAAUACCGGAUACGACCCCUCCAGGCAUCUGGUGGGGGUGGAAAGAAUUUCGGUCAAGGAUGGACUCGCGGCCUAUCAGCUUGUUGGUGAGGUAACGGCUCACCAAGGCGACGACGGGUAGCCGGCCUGAGAGGGUGACCGGCCACACUGGGACUGAGACACGGCCCAGACUCCUACGGGAGGCAGCAGUGGGGAAUAUUGCACAAUGGGCGCAAGCCUGAUGCAGCAACGCCGCGUGAGGGACGAAGGCCUUCGGGUUGUAAACCUCUUUUAGCAGGGAAGAAGCGAAAGUGACGGUACGUGCGGAAAAAGCACCGGCUAACUACGUGCCAGCAGCCGCGGUAAUACGUAGGGUGCAAGCGUUGUCCGGAAUUAUUGGGCGUAAAGAGCUCGUAGGCGGUUUGUCGCGUCUGCUGUGAAAAUCCGAGGCUCAACCUCGGACCUGCAGUGGGUACGGGCAAACUAGAGUGCGGUAGGGGAGAUUGGAAUUCCUGGUGUAGCGGUGGAAUGCGCAGAUAUCAGGAGGAACACCAAUGGCGAAGGCAGAUCUCUGGGCCGUAACUGACGCUGAGGAGCGAAAGCGUGG